CCAGCUUCUCCUCCCCCAAAUCGCGAAACCCUCCUCUCCCAAAUCGCGAAAACUCACACUCAACUGCUGCUUCUCGGUGAUUUCGCCCUCCCUCCAUCAAUUGCAUCAACAAGGAGUGAAUUGGUGUCAUUCUUCUGCAUAUUUGAUACAUUUUUAGUUAAAUUAUGGCAACAUCAUCAACUUCUCGUCGAAGGCUCUUAUGUGGUCCUGAGGACCCUUCCGUAUUGUAUCUUCAAAGACAGCACAUCUCUCAAAAUAUAUGGGUAGGAGUAGAAUCAGAAUAAGUAAGAUGUAGAAGAUAUGAAGGGAUUAUUUGGGAUGUUCCCAUACAUCCCCGUGUUUUGGCAAUAAUAGACCAGAUGGGAUUUGGCGGCGUAUUGAGGUGUGGUAAACCAAAGGACAUUGACCACCAUCUUAUCACCGCGUUGAUUGAACGAUGGAGGCCAGAGACUCACACGUUUCACUUUCCAAUCGGUGAAGCGACAGUUACAUUGGAAGACGUGGAGGUCUUAUGGGGUCUCAAAGUUGACGGUGAUGCUUUGACUGGUUACAUCCCCCCUAAGGAAGCCAACUAUUGGAUGCAACUUUCUUUGGAAUAUCUUGGAUUUACACCAGAUAAAGGUGAGUUGAAAGAAUUGAUUUGGAAACAGACAAGCUUACCAAAUCAACUAAGGAUUGAGUUGAGUGAUGAACACGAGCAUUAUAUAUAUGUUCAACGUGCUCGUGUUUAUUGGCUGCUUUUAUUUGGUGGUCUGAUGAUCCCGAACGCCUCCGAGAAUAAAAUUCCAUUCUUCUACUUGCAAUUUUUCAUGGAUAUGGAACGAUGUUCUAGCUAUAGCUGGGGUGGUGCGACUCUUGUUUGCUUGUAUCACAAUUUAUGUGAAGCUGCCCUUGGUAAGAGGACCGAAGUCGGCGGAGCUUGUACUCUGUUACAAUUGUGGGCUUGAGAGAGAAUCCCAAAUAUUAGGCCGAAGAUGAUAAAUCCCGUGCAUGUAGACUACGCACCAUGUGCAGUCGCAUGGAGUGGUCCGACAUCAUAUGUAAAAGCACCCGGGCAUUGCAUUGAAAAUGUCAGAGAUCAGUUCUCCAGAAUGCACGACAACCAAGUAAUUUAUGUAACUUAAAUUGUUUUUUGUUUUGACUUAAUUUGUUUUGACUAAACACACG